CAACCCCCCUUAUUCCCCCAAUUCAUUCGUCUCACUCACACUCUGGACUGGAGAACUCUGAACUCUGAAGCAAAGGGAACCCUAGCCCUUCUUAGCCGCCGCCGGUCCCAGGUCGUCAGCGCCGCCGCUUCUUCCUCUUCUCCGUGUCCAGAACCCAGUUGCUCGGCACGUCCUCUUCAUCUUUGCUGGCUUCUCGGCACGGAACCCAGAUUGCUGCACUAAAUCAAUUGAGAAAUAUAUUUGGAAUUUUGGAUUGGACAAACACGAAGCAGAAGCCAUUUCACUUGAUGUUAGUUUGGUACUUGAUGUUAGUUUAGAAGAAGAAGCCAUUUUGGAGUGAAAUCAGUUUUACAUCUUAUUAGUUUGGUGCUUGUUGACUGUACUAGAUUAGUAGGAAAAUCUUCACCAAAAGCUAUAAUUAUAUUUUAGGAUGUAUAUUUAUAAUUUAUUUAUUAUUUUAUUUUAAAACGGUUUUUUCGGUUGA